GACGUAGGCACCAAGCGUUGUCCGGAUUUAUUGGGCGUAAAGAGCUCGUAGGCGGCUUGUCGCGUCGACUGUGAAAUCCCGCGGCUCAACUGCGGGUCUGCAGUCGAUACGGGCAGGCUAGAGUUCGGUAGGGGAGACUGGAAUUCCUGGUGUAGCGGUGAAAUGCGCAGAUAUCAGGAGGAACACCGGUGGCGAAGGCGGGUCUCUGGGCCGAUAUUGACGCUGAGGAGCGAAAGCGUGGGGAGCAAACAGG
rnacentral:rRNA from 1 species